rnacentral:rRNA from 1 species
GACGAACGCUGGCGGCGCGCCUAACACAUGCAAGUCGAACGGAGUCAAGAGGAGCUUGCUUUUCUUGACUUAGUGGCGAACGGGUGAGUAACGCGUGGGUAACCUGCCCUGGAGUGGGGGACAACAGUUGGAAACGACUGCUAAUACCGCAUAAGCCCACGGAUCUGCAUGGAUCUGCGGGAAAAGGAUUUAUUCGCUCUAGGAUGGACUCGCGUCCAAUUAGCUAGUUGGUGAGGUAACGGCCCACCAAGGCGACGAUUGGUAGCCGGACUGAGAGGUUGAACGGCCACAUUGGGACUGAGACACGGCCCAGACUCCUACGGGAGGCAGCAGUGGGGGAUAUUGCACAAUGGGGGAAACCCUGAUGCAGCGACGCCGCGUGGAGGAAGAAGGUUUUCGGAUUGUAAACUCCUGUCGUUAGGGACGAUAAUGACGGUACCUAACAAGAAAGCACCAGCUAACUACGUG